CGGUCGUGAUGGCGGCGG
rnacentral:misc_RNA from 1 species